UUUGCCUCAAAUUUUACAUCAGUGGCUCAUUGUAACAGAGGUGAUUAAAAGCUCAGCAGUCUUUAUGUUACUCUAAACUGUGCUUCCUCUGACAGGAGCAGACUUGUGAUGGCUUUCAGGGUCUCAGUUCAGUUGUCUGCAGUGAUCUAGGAGCACUCUGAGCACAAUGUGAGGCACUGCUGUAGCUGCUUGGAAUCAUAGGUAUGGCCUUGGUAUUUUCUUCUGGCAUUGUCAGGCAGUUGGUGUGUGCUGCCACAUAGGCUUUAUUAUUUUUAAAUCAAAUUAACUAACUGCUAUCAAAAACACAAGAUUUACUUGGGACAGGACUAGUUUGAACAUCUGAUUUGUGAAAAAUGACAUCAGAAUAAAUUUAUUUGUAUCUUCAAGAUCUUAAAUGCUGAAUGUUCUCUUAAUAUUUCUGUUUGACUGAAGAAAAGUUUCAAGGUGUGUUGCAUGAGGAGAUGAGAUACCUCCUUGUUUACGCUUGAGCUGAAGAAUGUUUUUUCCCCAGAGAGUUGGGAAGUCCCCAAACUGCAGUGUCGCUGUUAUAUGGGCUUCAGCGCACAGCAGACAUCUUUGACUUUCACCUGCUUUUCCAGGGCUAAUGCUUUUAAAUUUCUUUCUACAUUUAAGAUCCCUAUAUCAACCUUCUUGCCACGUAAGUAGUAGUGCUAUUAAAAGCUAAUUUUACUGUCUGAAACGUGUCUUAAGUGUGUUUGCGUGUGUUGCUACAGGAAAGCUUAAAAGGCUGUGAGUGUGUUUUACAUCAUAGAACUCUCAUCAGAAGCCAGCCUAAGUGGUUUUUAUGAGGUCUUUAUUUCAGCCUUUCGUUUUCUGUAUUGAUUAUACCUGUUUACUUACAUGGAUGUUAGUUAUUGAAAACAGCUUUUAUAAGUUAGGAGUUACUAUUCUGAAUGAUCAGCAAAGUUGUCUGCAUUCUCUGAUGAUGGUUCACUGCCUGCAGGAUUGCUGGCUCUGCUCUGCUCAUUUGUCAUGCUUUUUAAGUCUUUCUCACUUUAAUUCUGGUAACGUCUAAAUAUUUUGAUUCCAAAUUUCCUUCGCUAUCUUGGUAUGAGAUCAGUUCUUGUGACUGUUUUCCAAUUUAGAGAACAUUUAGAACAAAUACAUUCAGAAUAGUCAUAGAAACAUAAUUUUUAAUGACUUUUGUACUUACAGUUAUUCAGUUACAAAUUAAAUACUUUCUACUUAUUUUACUUAUUUUACUUAUGCUCUCCUGUAAGCAUAAAACACAACUGAUCUGAGAUGGUGUUUAUUUAUGUUGUUUAUAUUCCAGUGUAGGAAACGAUGGAAUUUUGUAUGUUUGAAUUCUUUAAAUUUAUUUAUAUGCGCUGAAGAUUAAAGUUUUACCAUUUUCAUUUAUUAAUACAGUUCAAAAUGAUAGUAAGAUUUGUCAUACAGCAAUUUUAAAAUGCUAAAAUCUCUCGUGUUACACAAACAAGUAAAUACAAGUUUCAUGUGAAAGCUAACAGAACUUCUUCGUGCUAGAGUUGUGAGUACAUUAAGCAUUAUUAAAUUACUAUUAAUUUAAAUUAGUACAAUCAAACAGUUAAAUGGCAAAGCGUUUUCCAAUAAGGCAUAGCUUUUUUGGGUGAGUUAUUUUCCUUGCCAUAUAGUUAUAAGGAAUAGCUCAAGCAUUCAAUGCAUUGAGAUGUUUUCUAGUUUUUGACAGUCAUCAAGUCAGAAAUUCAGACUUUUUGUUGACAGUGUUACCUAUUUCAGAGUAUGUUUACUGUUGAACUCCAUCUUCGCUAUAAAAUAAUUUAGGAAAUAUUUAAUGGAUAGUCACUAUUAAUGUUUCCAAGUAUUUAAUUGGAAAUGAAACUCCUCCUUGCAGAGAUCUGUAUCAGUGAUUAUUUCAAAUAGUGUUUUGAUUUCCAGCAAGCGUUAUUUCAGACUUGAACUAAUUUAAAAUUAACAGUCGCUGUCAAUAAAGUUGCUCAUUGAUCACUGAGAGUAGGCCUGCAUGUCAGAAAAGUGCCUUUCAGUUUACCAUUGCAUCACAGAAUGUACAUUUAUUUUUUGUAUUUUCUUCAUCACCUCUGAAACUGUCAGAAUUUUGAAAUUUGUGCUUAGCAUAGCUAUGUAUUUUUAAAACAUCCUACUAGAUGUGUGCUAUUUCUAAUACAUUUUGGUCAUUAGUUGGUUUUUCUUCUUGCUCACUUUCUUUCGUGUUGCCGAAGUCGAUCUUCACAUCUCACAAAUGUUUUCUCUUGGGCUGGAUAAAGGUGAAUGUUGUCGGUACUUUGAGAGCAAAAUGUCAUUCUAGGAAGAAAACACAGCAUGUAACCAUAAUAAUACUUUUAAGGGAUGCCAUCUGUAUAAGAAAUGGCUCUCUAAAUACUCUGACAUCCCAGAUUGAACAGAAAGAAAAUAGAGCAUAUUAUUCUUUAAAAUACUGACAAAAACUUCUGCUGCUGCUUACAGCAAAAAAGCUUCUGAAUAGUGUUAGAUACCUGAAAAUACCACCUGAACUCCCCCCACCAUUUACCCUUCUUCUAGUUUGUCCUAAGUAGUCUGUCAGUAGCGAUUGGCUUGUUCUCUGUUAAUGACACAGUACUAUUGGAGAGGAAAUUUUUUUUCUCAAGGUACAAAAUCUUUUGUGUUUUUUUUUUUUUUGAAACAGCUCUCCAAUUUGCCUUGCACCACACAAUUUAAUUUGUCUUGACAGCUAGGUCUGUACUGAGCAGCAGGAGAUGUUACAGAAACUAUUUGGGUUUUUUUGGCAGGAGUGCAUGCAAAGUGCUAGGUUAGGAGGAAGUACCCACAAAACACCUUUUCAGAAAGGGCAAAUUUUAUAUAUAUAUAUAUAUAUAUAUUUGUGUGUGUGUAUAUAUGUGUAUAUAUAAUGAUCCUCCUCUGCCACCCUUCUAAAUUUUCUAAUUUGUGGGGAUUUCUUGUUAGCAUCGAGGAGCUGCAGCUCUGCCAAUAAGUACUGUUCCACAGGAAGUCUGCAAGUGGUUGUAACUGAAAGACUAUAACAAGGAAAAACACCUGAGGCGGAGCCACAGUUGCAAGGUAAGACAUGAUUUUCUUGUUAAUUGAAAUGUUCAGUUAAAAUUUCUCAAAGGAUUAAAGCAGUAGGAAUAAUUACAAGUUCUGUUAUUUCUUCUUGCUGAAAUUUGUCUGAAUAGGCAGUUUCAAAAGUAUUAAUGGCAUUUGCUGUGUUUAGAGACCACAACCACUCAGAUCUGUGGAUCCAGCUCCAAAAAAACAAGUGUAUAUUGAAAGGCAAAUCAUUGAGAUUUGUCUUUUCCAAGUAGGAUUUUGAAUUUUCAAGGCCUUAAUGUUUUAAUCAAUAUUUAUUUUGUUUUGUAUUUGUUUCUUCAAAAUUUCAUAUGGUCCUUAUAGAGUGAGAUAAACACAUUCUAAAAAUAAGAAAUUGCUAUCAUUUAUUACUAUUGUGUAGGAAAAAAACCGCACUGCUUGUUUGAAUUCUUCCUUGGAUCUGUUUGCUACCUCCUUCUCUGUCCCUUAUUCCCAAAUAUCAAUUAUGCUGUUACCCAAGGCAACGGUGCCUUAAAUUCAUAUUAGUGUUAUUAGUGAGCCAGAAUAUUUCCCACACUUCAUUUUUGACCUGAGAAUAAAAAUUCUUCUCACAGGUCACUUCAAAAUCAUGCACUGUGAUCGGAGACUAAAAUUAAAAAAUAAUUAAAUGAUAGAGGCUGGACGUGGAUAAACUCAAAUCAUUGUAUUAGAGCUAGGAGCUCCUAUCUGCUAAGUGUCUGUCUUAUUACAGAAACAUGUUCUUGUCAUUACACUUACUUUUGCUGUGUUUCCCCUGCUUUCACUCGUAUUGUCUUCACUAUGAGCCCUGGUCGACGAGUGCCUUUUGUCCAUGGUAUUAUGGUUUGAAACUUGUCCCAGAUAUUUUUCCAAACUGCAGUUCCUUCCCAUUUAAACUUGAUCAUUAGUAGCUCACCAAUAUCAGUGUCCAGUGUGAUGAGAAAAGAGUAGGUUUUAUUCCCAUUAAUUCCUUCAAUUCUGCAGAAAUCAAAAAUAGAAUAAUGCUAUCUCUAUUAUGGGUUGAAGUUUAUUUAAAAAAGUAAACUAUUUUCUUUGAAAUCAAAGAAAGAACUGUUCCAAUGACAUGUAAUGUCAAUACUCACAGUGUGAUGGGCAGGUUUUUAGCAUCCUCCUUAGUGCCUGUCAGAGACAUGCUAAAACUUGGGUCUAUCUUCUUGCCUUGAAUUUCAUUUAUGAAGUGGAUCUUGAACUGAUAGUGAUAGACUGUAGAAAGGAGGAAUUUACAAAGUGAUGAAAUGAAUGGUCAAAGAAACACUCGAUUUCUCAGACAUAAGACUGUCUUUCAAAACAGGAAUUUGAUUGAUACAUAUAUUUUAUUUUAAAACAAAUCUGUUGCAAUUAAAGCCUAUAUAUGUAUUUAUCACUGAUGUGUUGUAUUAGAGCUUGGGGGCCCUACUGCUCUUAAAAACAUUGAAGAGGGUAAAACGGUCUCCCAUGGGGAAUGUUUUUGCUCUUCUGAAAUUUAAUCGUUGGAAUGUCUGGCAAGCUCUGUCCAACCAGCAGAGGAAUCCUUCUGACUGGACAUGUUUAGAGGUGUGCAUUAAAGACUGAAGAUCUUAUAAGAUGUUGUCAGACUUUUUCUCUGGUUAGAAAAUCUCCUUGCAGAACAAAAGACUUUCCUUGGCUUAAUAAUAAAACAUUGUGCUUAGUAUGCAUCUGUUAACAAUAUGACUUUGUUCAAUCACAUUACUGUAAGAAAGAUGUCAUCAGUGCUUUGAGGUUUGGUGGUUUCUCCAAGAAUUGUGUUUAGGAAAGUCUUUGAACUGAAGAUAAUGGUAUGCUUCUGAGAAGGAAGAAUGACUAAGGAAUCAUCAGUGUACUGAUUACAAGCUGUUUGGCAUUUAGAGAACUACAAGACACAAAGAAAAUACCCAUACAGUUAGAGGCCUUGUGUACACAGGUAUUACCAUCUAGUUUUGAAUGUCCAACACUUUUCUGUGUAGCACGUCUACCAAAAGAAAAGAUCUGGCUGUAGCCACUUAAAUGUACCAUGGAAAAGUUACUGUUGGGUGAUAAUGUCACUUAGGUAUUUUCAGCUUGACAAUACCCACGUGUGGUGGCUCUUCAUCAACUUUUGACAUCAGCAUCAGAUCUAUUAUUUCCUGCUGAAAAAUUUCUUAACAACCAUCACUGCAUUUUACACACCACUUAUCAGGGCAUACUAUUUGUAGCUCUAAUUCAUCACUGUUUUAUAUUGACAAACAUAAAAAUAAAACCAGACAUGCAGUGACAAUGGAGAUUUCUAAAGCAAGGUGGUGUUAGUCAGCUCUAAAACACUUCUGCAGUGUGGAAUGUGGUUUUCCCAUCUGCAAACUGCCUCCUUGCCCACAACUGUUAGGUUUAGAUAUUAGGGAGGAAAUACUAGGUCAUUUUAAUUGACAAAUAUCAGAAAGUAUUUGGGAGAAUUAGUAGGUGAUGAUAUUUAUCCUUGCAAUGUGUUAAAACUGCACAUGGGAAACUGUUCUGUUAAACAUUAUUGCACCGUGUGUGUGUGUGUGUGUGUAUACAUAUAUAUAUACAUAUAUAUCUGCAUAUAUAUGUAUAUAUAUGUAUAUAAACAUCAUAAAUGCUUUUGAGCAGAAAGAUGCUCAAAAUGACCUGCUCCAGGCUUCACACAAUGCUACCACUGCCCUGUCGUCUUUUCCUGUAUAUGCACAGAUAGACCUUUGUGCAGCUCUUAGCUUCCACAGUGGAAGCUAUUUGCUAGAAAAACUAUGUAUUUUUUGUUGUUGUUUCAUAACUUACUGUAUGUUAAAGAACAAUUUUUUUUCUUUUUAAAAGUUACCACUUAACAGAAAGCAAAAUGACUGGUUCUUUGCUGCCAGCCAGAAACGCAGACCUGACAAGGACAAAGAGUAUAGAAAGGCUUGUUUACAAAUCACUUCUUGCUAUUCUGUCUUGAUCUGGGUUUGCUCUUACAAAAGUUGAGUGCUCUUACAAAGCCCGGUCUUGUGCUAUGCUUGUGAUACUCAAAGGAGAAAGGUGAGCAUGUUUAUAUAGAAACUUUGGUUGGCUCAGGGUCUCAUCAUGACUUUAUAAUCAUUAACUUCUUUGUAGCAAUUGUUUUUUCAUGUGUACACUCCAGAAUAUAACUUGAAAAAUGUCUGAUUUCAUGCAGAAAUACAGAGCAUUGUGAAACUUAAUGCUGAGUCCCUCAGAUUUCCUCUGUUUGGGUUUCUCUCGUGAUCUUCAAACUUUUUUUUUUUUAAGAACAUUACAAAGAUCACUUCACACACAGCCUUCCACUGGUGCCACCUUGUUUUGGAGCUUUUAUGAAAAGAAAUUACUGUGUGAGCAUUAGUUUUUGUCUGUUCCAUGCCCACCGCCCUCUGGUGAACCUUUCCUUACUUCCCAGCCUGACUCCCCCAGCAGAGCUCCAUGCCGUUCCCUUGGGCCCUGUCACUGUCACCAGAGAGCAGAGCUCAGCGCUCAGUUCACCAGAGUGACAGGAGAAAAGCCGGUGCAACAGCGUUCCCCUAGGUUUCGCUCCAGACCUGAAGAAUCCUAAGUUGCUACCAUGAGGAACACGUCCAAAAGUAUUUUAAAAGUACUUUGGAAAUGGGCUUCUAUAUGUAUAAAAGCAGCUUGGAACGUUGACAGUGAAGUCCCAGAGAGAGCAUCACCCUCUGCAGCUGAAUGAUGGUGACUUGGGGAAAGGUGAAUUAAGAGAAAGUGCAUUGAAUGCAGAAUCCUUUGGCAUGGGAAAAACCUCAGGAAGCACAAUACUGCAACCUCUGCAGCCGCUCUGACCUACUGGAAUUGAACUCUGAUCUUCUGCAUAAUAAAGAUGAGUACUUCUUAGUGAUGCAAAUUUAGGAAAGACGUAUCUGCCCUCUUCAAGAUUAAGAAAUUCCUUCAUAAGAGCUGCAGUACAAGGGAUUCAUUUGCUAUAAGAGGGUAAUACAAACUCCACAUAUAGCACAAAGUAUUGCAUACUGUAAUGCACACAACUGUGUAUUAUUGCAACCCAUCAGUUUCCGUUUUACAGGGAGGAUUAAAAUGUUAAAAAGAUUCCUAACCAAUUUAUAUUAGGUUUGGAAUGUUCAAGCAGAAACAAAGAGACAAUGAUAGUACACUGCCAGCGUAUCACAGAGUGUAUGUCUAGUACUGAAUCAUUUUGCUGUUUCUGCUUUCUGUAAUCUGUUGUGUAUUGGUAGUUUGUUGUUGUUUUUUACAAAGUAAGUUAGUUCCUUUUAAAAUCUGGGGCAAGGUAAAGGCUUGCUACUGCUUCUCACAGGACAUGGAGAGAUGAACCGCUUUCUCUAAAGUGAACCCUGCUGCUUAUCCUCAUUAGUGGCUCAUUCCACCUUCUACCCAGCUGGCAGCCAUCUUAGUUGGUGUCUGCUGGGUUCUGUAAUCUUUUCCUGGUUAUUUCCUUAAAUACGGUACCUGUGCUAUCUGGGAUUUAUUCUAUUGACAGAAUUUUCAAAGCAACACCUAGCAGAUUUCAGGUUUGCAUGCACCAGUUAUCCUAAAAGCCAGGUUUACACAUUGUAGUACAGGCCAAAAUUUGUUUUAAAUGUUAAUCAUCAAAAAGCAAAAUAGAAGGAAGCAAAUAUAAAAUAAUUACUGGCAAAAUUCUGCAGAUUCUGCUGUAGUGCAGUGGUUGUUACCACUAGAUACAUAGUUGUUUAUACCAUGAAAUGCAAAUAAUUUAAUAAGGUAACCUUAAAAUUGUAGUAAUAAAUACUGUAUCAGAGGACAGAGGCUACUUACCAGAAACCCCACCAGACACAUACACUGCUGUGGUGACAGCCAUUGCAAAUCCAACCGAUAUUGUCAUGGGCCCACCGUGGGCUCCUCGGCUGAGGACGGCCUGACCCACACACCCACAUCCGAGUGUCUGUAUUUUAAAAGAGAAAUGUGAAAUCUUAGGCAUGACUGUCAAAUGUUAUUGGUUAGUUUGCUGAUGUCCAGGUAUAGAUGAAAAUGUUGUCUAAGUAUUGGAAAAAAUACUAGAAUUUGAGAUUAGUGGCAUGUGUGCAUGUUGUCUUUGCUACAACUAAUAUUUGCUCUUUAUUUUCCUCUGUUUUGUGACCAGGAAGAAUGUCUGCUACUAGGAGCCUCUCUCUCCAGAAAACACAUUUCAACUAUAACGGUGUUACACAACUCUGAAUUUCGAGCCUAAACAAGAUUUCUCAG
rnacentral:lncRNA from 1 species